rnacentral:tRNA from 1 species
GGAUAUGGCUCAGUGGUAGAGCAUCUGCCUAGCAUACACAAAACCCUGGGUUCAAUCCCCAGCACCA